rnacentral:rRNA from 1 species
AACGAACGCUGGCGGCAUGCCUAACACAUGCAAGUCGAACGAGACCUUCGGGUCUAGUGGCGCACGGGUGCGUAACGCGUGGGAACCUGCCCUUAGGUUCGGAAUAACUCCCCGAAAGGGGUGCUAAUACCGGAUAAUGUCUUCGGACCAAAGAUUUAUCGCCUUUGGAUGGGCCCGCGUUGGAUUAGCUAGUUGGUAGGGUAAAAGCCUACCAAGGCGACGAUCCAUAGCUGGUCUGGGAGGAUGAUCAGCCACACUGGGACUGAGACACGGCCCAGACUCCUACGGGAGGCAGCAGUGGGGAAUAUUGGACGAUGGGCGAAAGCCUGAUCCAGCAAUGCCGCGUGAGUGAGGAAGGCCUUAGGGUUGUAAAGCUCUUUUACCCGGGAUGAUAAUGACAGUACCGGGAGAAUAAGCUCCGGCUAACUCCGUG